UGGCUGAGUGGUUGAUAGCCCUGGUCUUGAAAACCGGUAUAGUUCUAGGAACUAUCGAGGGUUCGAAUCCUUU
rnacentral:tRNA from 1 species